rnacentral:rRNA from 1 species
AUGGCUCAGAACGAACGCUGGCGGCGUGCUUAACACAUGCAAGUCGAAACGCGAAAGGGACUUCGGUCCUGAGUAAAGUGGCGCACGGGUGAGUAACGCGUAGAUAACCUGUCUUCAUGUCUGGAAUAAUACGCCGAAAGGGGUACUAAUACCGGAUAUUCUUGCUUUUCAUAAGUUAUGCAAGCAAAGGUGGCCUCUGCAUAUGCUACUGCAUGAAGAGGGGUCUGCGUACCAUUAGCUAGUAGGUGGGGUAAUGGCCUACCUAGGCGACGAUGGUUAGCGGGUCUGAGAGGAUGAUCCGCCACACUGGCACUGGAACACGGGCCAGACUCCUACGGGAGGCAGCAGUGAGGAAUAUUGCGCAAUGGGGGAAACCCUGACGCAGCGACGCCGCGUGAGUGAGGAAGGCCUUCGGGUCGUAAAGCUCUGUCAAGAGGAAAGAAGUGUACAAUGGCUAAUACCUGUUGUAUUUGACGGUACCUCUAAAGGAAGCACCGGCUAACUCCGUGCCAGCCGCGGC